AGGAUGAACGCUGGCGGCGUGCUUAACACAUGCAAGUCGAACGAUGAAGCGGAGCUUGCUCUGUGGAUUAGUGGCGAACGGGUGAGUAACACGUGAGUAACCUGCCCUUGACUCUGGGAUAAGCACUGGAAACGGUGUCUAAUACCGGAUACGAGCUUCAGCCGCAUGGCUAGGAGUUGGAAAGAAUUUCGGUCAAGGAUGGACUCGCGGCCUAUCAGGUAGUUGGUGAGGUAAUGGCCCACCAAGCCUACGACGGGUAGCCGGCCUGAGAGGGUGACCGGCCACACUGGGACUGAGACACGGCCCAGACUCCUACGGGAGGCAGCAGUGGGGAAUAUUGCACAAUGGGCGCAAGCCUGAUGCAGCAACGCCGCGUGAGGGACGACGGCCUUCGGGUUGUAACCUCUUUAGUAGGAAGAAGCGAAGUGACGGUACCUGCAGAAAAGCACCGGACUAACUACGUGCCAGCAGCCGCGGU
rnacentral:rRNA from 1 species